rnacentral:lncRNA from 1 species
UAAAUGUCCAUGAAAUCUUCACAAUUUAUGUUCCUCUGCUGUGGCUCCAGCUGGUCCCUCCAUUCAGGGUCCCUGACUUCCUGCAACAAGGAGAUGGGGACAGCACAGAUACAGCUGUCUUCAUGCCUUCCCAGGAGGCCAGCCCCAGAUGAGCAGGCCUCUUCCAGACUUAAUUUCCUUGAUAAUUUUGUGUUCAUCUUGUUCCACUAGAUACUCUAAGAUACAGUUUCUUCUGCAGCCCUUCAGCCUUCCCUCUCAGCUUUUUAAAGUUUAUACCCUUCAAGCACUUACAAACAGUAUGUCACUCCACUGGUCUUAGUUUAGAAAAUGCACAGAUAUAUUUACUUGGCUUUUGGAGUGCUUUUUAAAAAGCCACCUUCCUGGGCCCUUGAACUCUUCAUGGACGGGGGAAAGAGAAGUUUCUUCACCAAACUGCCUGAGGCUGGGUGGUUUGGAUUUCUUUAAAAGAGCUGUUGUUUCCUUCCUGCUGUCAUUUCUGCAUCUAAUCAUGGAGGCAGCUCCUGAUCAAAGAGCAUUGUACUGGUGAGGCACUCAUUCUCCCACAUAUGGGCUGACCCCCUGGUGCUGAGUGAGUGAGGUGAGCCUGGUCAGAAUGGGGUUGGGGGCACCAAGAAAGAGAUAGCUCAAUGUAGGGCCCUUGUGUCCAUGCAAGUUUCAUUCACAUCCCCAAAGCAGUGUCAAGCCCCUGAAGCCACAUCAACUCUCCAAUACUAAGCCCCUAGGUUCUUUGAGCAAAGUAGUUGACUAAGAACCAAGAAGAAGAUGAAGAAUAAACAUUAACAAUGGCUGAAAAUUGAGGUUUUAGGUUUUUUACGAAAUACAAAAAUGCCAAUCACAUUUGUAUCUGCUGGGGUUUUAUCAGAAAUCUUCCAGGGGAACUGUGAUGGUUAAUAUUGAGUGUCAACUUGAUUGGAUUGAAGGAUGCAAAGUAUUGUUCCUGAGUGUGUUUGUGAGGGUGUUGCCAAAGGAGGUAACAUUUGAGUCAGUGCACUGGGAGAGGCUAACCUACCCUCAAUCUGGUUGGGCACCAUCUAAUCAGCUGCCAGUGUGGCUAGAAUAAAAGCUGGCCGAAGUUGGAAAAUAAGAUAAGAACACGUGUUGAGUCUGCCGGCCUUCACUUUUCCCCUGUGCUGGAUGCCUUCUGCCCUUGAAUAUCAGACUCCAAGUUCUUCAGCUUUUGGACUCUUGGACUUACACCAGUGUUUUGCCAGGGGCUCUUAGAUCUUCGGCCACAGACUGAAGGCUGCACUGUCAGCUUCCCUACUUUUGAGGUUUUUGGACUCAGACUGGCUUCCUUGCUGCUCAGCUUGCAGACGGCCUAUUGUGGGACUUCACCUUGUGAUCAUGAAGUAGAAGUGAUUAUCCACAUUCCAUAGAAGAAGAAGCGGAGCUCAGAAUGGGUAAGUAACUUGGCUGAUGUCUCCCAGCUGAUAUGUGGAGGGGUGUUGGGGUUCCCAAAGAGCCCCUCCUUUCCCUUUCUCUCCUCCUUCUCAAUCUGGGGAGGGGUGGGACAGUAUCACAUGGUUGUGAAGGGAGAACCCCAUAUGUAUGCCAUGCUACCAGCUUGCCUCUUCCCUCAGCACUGACUACAAGGUGUGAUCAUGAGGAAUAUUCACCGUUUAUGCUCAUAUUGUUCAAGAGAAGACUAAACCAGCAGGCUCAGCCAGAGCAUCCCUGGAAACUUACCUGAGCAUUAUCCAUAGUAAUUCUUCUGUUUGCUGCUGGGUUUCCUUCAUCAAUUUUAAUCCUUACACCUCUUCUGUAAAAACCAUGCUCAACAUCCAUUCUGUCCAUCCUUAGUGGGGCCAUUCCCAGGAGCAAUGGUUACAACCUACUAACAAAUGUGCUUAUGCAGAUCCUCAAAAUAGAGCCAAACCUCCCCACAUCUUAGGGCCUGGGAAAGAUUUGCACUUUCUCGUUCUAUAAUGGAUGUUAUAAGUUGAUGUUGAUGCCUCACAUCAGUUUCCAAAUUAAUAUUUGCUAUAUGGAGCCUUGCUAAUUAAUAUGAAUCUUUGAUGAAGUUUCAGAUCAGCUAUUUGAAAUGGGAGGAAGGUAGAAAGCAACUUGCAAAUUCUGUGCAUAAUGAGGUGAGGAACAAGCUCACAUAAUGAAGUAAACAAUUAGGCAACAUUUGCAUGAUUCUUUUUCUUCCAACACAAGACAAGACACAGGGAGCUGAUUAGCAUUCUGCCUUUGCUGUGAGUCUUGCUUCUUAUUUCUCCACCAUUUGGGAGGAUUCUCAAAGCCAAGCACAGGUAACACUGUUUUGCCAAAAUUUUCUUAUAUUAUCCAAGGGACUGCCAGGCAGCAAAGGUUACCCUGCCAAAGUCAACCUGACACAGGUGACUUCUGUUUCUGUAACUUUUCCCUCAGCUGAUACACUUGUAUCCAGAGAAAGGCCCCAAUUUAGGUUCUGACCUCUGAAUGCCAACCAGCCAGAGAGUACUGAAAACAGUUAUUACUCAACCCCAACAUUUACUGAGCGUCUACUAUGCCCUAGAGCCUGUGCUAGAGGUGAAGAUAAAAAUGAAUAGGUGAAUGUCCUGCUGCCUUUGAGGUAUCCUCUGCCCACUGGAGGAAGAAGCAUUAAAGACAACAUUUAUGGUGAGCACUCUGCAGGUACAGAGGAGGGAAUCUACCUCUGGUCGGGGAAGGAGGAAGGGUUCGAGAAAAGCUCCCAGAGGAGGCAAUGCCUGCCAUGAGACUGGAAAGAGGAUCAGGAGCUGGCCAACGAGCAGCAGAACGGGGCUCAUUCUAGACAGAGUGCUCCCAACAUAAGCAAAGCUGUGAGGAAGUUCCCAGUGUUCCAGAAACUACAAGUGGUUUCCUAGAGAGUAUGAAGUUGUGCACACAGGAAAGCUCUCACAGGUAAAGCUAGACAUGUCAGCAAAGGCCUGCUCCUGAACCUGAGAUGUGGUUCUUGGUGGACAGAGUCAAUGAGGGCUUUUAACAGGGAAAAUACAUGGGAGGAUGUAUAUUUUAGAGAACACACUCAAGCUUGUUGGGCUAGAUGGACAUGUCAAAUAAAGAUGAUAAUGAGCAUAUUGGGUGUCCACUGUGUGCCAGGUACAAUGCUGGGAUGGCAAGGACACAGACACCAGUCAGAAAUCUUCCAACUAAGGUGGGUCCGCUGGGAGCAGCCCAAGGUGCCAAAGAAGCUGUCAAACAGCUUGAUGAACAGACCCGUGCCUUCCCAGAUCCAGAUCCCAGCUCUAUGGGUUAUUAGUUAUGUGGCUACGUAGCUCAUGGAACUUCUCUGUGUCUCAGUUUCUUCAUUAGUGAAAUGAGGAAAACAGGACCUACCUCAUAGAGGUAUUGCUGUGAGGAUUAAAUGCGUAGAUGUACGUGAUGUCCUUACUUUGGCUUCUGGAAAAGUUAAGUGAUUUCUAAGUGCAGUUCACAUUAUCUGAACAAUGGUAAGGACUGAAGACAGAGCAAGAACAUCAAGGCAUGUUAAGAACAAGAGGUAUCAGGGGAACCCGCUCCCAAUAUUUCAACAUAGGUUCUUUCUAUUUUCCAUAAGUGUCAGUUGGCUGAGAAAUAAAGAGAAAGAGUACAAAGAGAGGAAUUUUACAGCUGGGCCGCCAGGGGUGACAUCACAUAUCAGUAGGACUGUGAUGCCCGCCUGAGUCUCAGAGGAGCGAGUUUUUAUUAAGGGUUUUAAAAGGGAAGGGGAUGUAAGAACAGGGAGUAGGUACAAAGAUCACAUGCUUCAAAGGGCAAAAAGCAGAGCUACUAAUAAGUGUCUAACAAAGAUCACAGGGCAAAGAGCAAAAGCAGAACCACUGAUAAUGGUCUAUGUUCAGCAGUGCACGUAUUGUCUUGAUAAACAUCUUAAACAACAGAAAACAGAGAUCAAGAGCAGAGAACUGGUCUGACCACAAAUUUACCAGGGUGGAAUUUUUCCCCACCCUAAUAAGCCUGAGGGUACUGCAGGAGACCAGGGCAUAUCUCAGUCCUUAUCUCAACUGCAUAAGACAGACAUACUACAGACUAUACUACAGAUAUUCUACAGACUAUACUGAAGGAGACAGGCUGGUGGAAUCCAGUGCUUCCGUAAGAGUUAAGCACUUUGUAACUACAAUUGUCAUUAUCUGAACUAAGGUAAGGGCUGGAGGCAGAGCCAGAGCUUCAAGAAGGAAUUGGCUAACACAAAAGCAAGAACAUGGAUUCUUCUGAGAAGUAAAGAAAGAUGUUUCCCAAAAGCAAGCACUUUGUAGGUGGCGAUGUGUUGAUGUGCUGGGUCUGAUAAAAAGUGAUCCCAACAGAAAGUUCCUCUCAUCUCCAGCCUAGGAAAUCUUUAGGCCUUCACUCAGAUCUUCACUCAGGCCUUCCCGGACCACCCUCUCAAAAAUUUUCAACCGCUUUCUCCUGCACACUUGAACUCUCCCUUUCUGCUUGUUCUCCUUGGCACUCACAUUCUAUCUCACUGAAUUAUCUGAUUUCUUGUUAUCUUCCACCCAAGGAUGUAAGCCUCAUUAAAGGCAGGGAUUUUUGUCUGUUGUGUUCACUGUUGUAACUGGAGUUAAAUGCUGCUUGUCACAAAGUAGACAUUCAAUAACUAUUUGUUGAAUGCCUGAUGAAUGAAAUCCUCAUGUUAGUACUAUUGGAACAGAGAAUAGGGUACAUCUAUUGGUCAACUAGCAUUCAGAAACUAUCUGCUGGGCCCUAUGGGCGAUAUUGAAAAAGAAAACAGAAAUUCUAUCAUCAAAUUUUUAAUAUUUGAAGAAACAAAAUGAAUGAGCCCAUGUGGUAAGAAGAUGACUGAACCCCACUCUCCUUCUUCUAAAGCUGUGCUUUUUCUCCCUUGCAGUCUCAUCUCCAGGCAGCUGUCCCUCUUCUGGAUCUCUGGCAACUCCAGUUCACAGCACCCUUUCUCCUCCUAGCCUAGGAUCCAGUGCCUUUAGCAGCCCAGUCAUGCGACUCUCUCACACCAGCCUGGCACCUGGGUGUCGCCCGAAAGCCUCCUCAGAGCUGUCUUUGAUGAGCACCACCUGCUGCCUGUCAGUCCAACUGCGGUGGAGAUGGUUGGGGUCAAAUCCCCAUUGUCAAGGUGAUAGGAGAGACCUCAGUGUGCUUUGUGGAUGCAGAGGAUGAAAAUCAGCAAAACUGAAUGAGCUGUGUGCUGUUCUUAGAGGAAGCACUAGGUAAACUAUUCCAGUACAAUUCUGUUUAUUCUUUUCUGUGCAAACCCAAAUUUAGUGUACCCAAUACACAUGCAUAUGAAUACAUACCACAUAGAAAUGCACAGACAUCACACACACCCACAACACUCAGACACAGGGAUGUGAGUGUAUGCAUGAACACAUACUCACACUCACACACCAUUGUAAGGCUUGUCCUCAUCCUAAGAGUUUAACGUAAUAGCUUUUUUAAAAAAAAUUGAAUAAAUGAAUGAAUGAAAUCAUUAUUUUAUCUGUAAUCAUUUAACAGAGGAUGGAGAAUAAUAGCCACCCACUCUCAACCAUCCCAGUUUUAAACAUUUAUUAAUAUUGGGGUUUAUUUUUAAAAGAAAUUCAAAAACUUAGGGUAAAAUGUUCCCCCAAAACUUUUACUGUUGCCUGGGUUUAUUAUUUUUCAGAAUUCAAUAAAUUUUUCAGAAUUGUUUUUCCUUUAAAGAGUGGAAACUUCUGAAGAAAAUAGCCAUGUUACCAAUGUCGUCACGCUGAAGCCACAGAGUCAAGUUAGUGGCAAUGGCCGUGGACUGGGAGCCAAUUGAACUGGGUUUCAAUCCUGCCUUUUUUUUUAUUAUUUUUAAAUGCAACUGUAUGCAAAUUGCUUCUUCUCCCUGAGUCUCCAUUUUCUCAUUUAUAAUUUGGGGAGCGGGGUAGAGAGUCUUUACUUAAACAUAGGGCAUUACCCCUCCAUACAUCCAUAUUUAUGUGCCCUCUUAAGAUCCUUCUAAGAUAUUUUUAAAAACAAAGGCUAAGCUCUUUAACCAUAAGAACCCACUGUGGAUGCAGGACAUCAAUACAUUUCCAGGGGGGAAGACAUUGGGUCAUUGGGUAGGUGCUGACUGAUCAAACAAGGUGGAGGAAGCCACAGGAGACAGUAACAAAGAAAUAAAUACAGCCAUGCACCUUACUGAAUCUUGGAGAGACUUGGGAUUCUGGAACACCAGUUAUAAUUAAGCAUCGGAGCAAGCCACAGAUUGAUUCUGGACUGGCAUGAUUUUGCCCCACCCUCAGGGGACAUUUGUCAAUGUUUGGAGACAUCUUGAGUAUCAUGACUGGGAGGUGCUCCUGACACCUGGGGGUUAGAAGCCAGAGAUGCUGCUAAACAUCCUACUAUGCACAGGGCAGCCCCCUUGACAAAGAGUCAUACAGCUCAAAAUUGUCAAAAAUCUUAAAGUUAAGAAACUCCACUCUACACCCAAGAGUUGAUCUCCCACUCUGAAACCUUCUCCAUAUUUGAAGACUAACAGAUAUCCAUCUACCUCACUGUUAUGGGCUGAAUUUUUCUCCUCAAAAUUUAUAUGUUGAAGACCUAAUCCCCAGUACCUCAGAAUGUGACUGCAUUUAGAGAUGGGGCCAUUAAAGAAGUAACUAAGUUAAAAUGAGGCCUUUAGAGUAAGCCCUUAUCUGAUCUGACUCAUGUCCUUAUAAGAAGAGGAGAUUAGGACACACAGAGAGACACCAGCGAUGCACAUGCACAGAGAAAAGUCGUAUAAGGACACAGAGAGAAGGCAGCCAUCCGCAAACCAUGGAGGAAGGCCUCAAAAGAAAUCAACUCUGCCAACACCUUGAUCUUAGACUUCCAGCCUCCAGAACUGUGAGAAAAUGAAUUUCUGUUGUUUAAGCCAUCCAGUCUGUAAUACUUUAUUAUAACAGCCCAAGAAAACUAAUACACCCACUAUGCAAGUAAUGAGAGGGUUCUUCUCCAAAGAAAUGGGAUGAACACAGAGAAAAGACCUCCAAUCUGGUAAUUAUGGGUCCCCAGAAUUAUUGCCCACUCCCCUGCAUCACAUUAAAGGGAACUGCCAACCUACAAUCACUGUUCCCCACCCACCCACCCCCACCUCACACAUACACAACACACAGCUCAAGAUCAGCUUAUUGUCUGGCUCUUAAAUGUGAUGUAACACCCAAAGAUCUCUGAGGAACAUCUACAACCCAAAAGAGAGAAACCAAGAUUAACAAGCAGCAUAUGCAACGUUGGAAAGAAGAGAAAUAAUUUGGAAACACAAUUUAACCUUUAAAAACUCUUUAAUAAAUAUUCUUAGAAAGAGUAGUAAAAAAAAAUAUUGCAUCAACAAAGUACAACUAGCUAACAAGGAAAAACUAUUGAAAAAUAAAUAUAUGAGCCCGAAAUUCUAAUAGUAGGUAAAAUAUAAUAAAACCAAUGUUGUAGAACAAAGGCAAGAAGAUGUAAGAAAAUGAGAAAGGUAAGAUGUGUUGAGGAUCAGUCCAAGAGGCCCCACAUCUGAUCAAUAGGAGUGACAAAAAGAGAAAAACAAAAAGAAAGAAAUCAAAGAAUUAUCGCAAAGGAUUGUCCCAGAGUCAAAGGACAUGAGUAUCCAAAUUAAGAAGCCAAUCAAGUACCCAAGUGCUCAAGUUGACAACUCACAUAUGUGCAUACACAUGCAGACAUACACACACACAUCUAGACCCAUCACUAUAAAACUUCAAUACAUCCAUAAUAGAAGAUACUGAGAAGGUUUAGCAGGAAAGAUAGAAAUGUAAAAGAUACCUGUGAAAACCAAGAACUUCAACCAGCAUCAGACCUCUCAUCAUCAGCCACACUAGGUCAGAGAAGAUAUAUUCUGCACAUGAAGUUGCCAGAUGCCCCCAGGAGUUCUGGGAUUCAUGCCUUGGGUGGUUGGCUUGAAGUCCUUGGCCAAGCCCUGAUUCCAGGAGGGAUUCCUGACAAGUGAAUUGCUCCUGCUGCCCAGUGCCAUAUUUAUUUCACAGAAUCCUAUGAGAUUGGGUGGCCAAAAUGGCAGCGAUAUGAUGAUUUUAAGUGACUCUCAAAUACAUCACACCCAGGACAAGUUCAGUGCUCUGAGUACUGAUGAUGGUCCAUCACUGAACCUUGGCCUGAACUAUAUGUGUGAGCCCCUAGGUGAGCUCUCAUCUGGAUUUGUUCUGUAGUUUCACUUCUGAUCUUCAGCACCCAAGUGCAGCUGGGGUGGCAACAGGCAUCCUUUACUCCAUUUGACUUUACCACUGAACCCAGGGUGGUCAUCCCACUGUCCCAUUCAUCUAACAGGCAGUCUUUUGACAAUGGCUACAUCUUUCUCUACCUGGUGCUUUCAAGAUCUUUGCUCUGAAACAGCAAGGGGCUUUUCCAAUUGAUGUCCUCCCCUGCCUCCACAGAUGUGGGGAUAUCAAGCACUCCUGGAUCAGUUGAAGCCAUUCCUGAUGAGAGAUGUUCCUUGUGCCAAUGAGGCUGCUCUUCUCAUUCAUUUAGUCCUCUCCACUGGUGGCAGUGAGUGGAAGGCAGGAGUGCAGUUAACAUGAAAAGAAUCACUGUCUAGGAAUGUAGUAAUUACAGCAUAGAGUUUAAGAGAAGAUAGAGUUGGAAGACAUGCUCUAUGUUCAGAUUAUAAACAGUAAAUUCAACAUAAUCAGAAAACAAAUUAUUGUUCACAUUUUCUUGCAUACUCUGGAUAAGACUUGCAUUUUUGGUCAUCAACAAUGAAGCACAGCAACAACUUUUGAGAAAGUCAUUGAAAGCCAGUAUUCAUGGUGCAGCAUCAUCUAUAACAAUAUAACCAGACUUCAAUAAAUUGUAUUGCAAAAGUAGUACAGAUCUAUAUUGUUCAUUGUAAACAAGUUCCCAAGAACUUGGCAUUGUGAGUAAUGACAGUAUUGCUACUUUUCUUCAUGACUGGAGAUAUGGAAUUAGCCAAGAACACAGAGAUAGUGCCUGGACAUUAUGAAGAAAGAAUUUUCACAUGCACUGAUUAAGUAAUGAAUAUGUAAGUACCUCAUCUGUAUCCAUUAUUCUGAAUGACUUUCAAUAAAACACUAUACCCCACGUGGGUCCAUGAAUUUUGUAAUACUUUCUUAGUCAAAUUAUUUAUUUAGAAAAAGGUCCCACAAAAAAAUAUUUAUCUGAGGCCCCACACAUCUAGGAGCAACCCUGUUGUUAGGGAAUUACUUAAGGGUGUGCCUCAGCCCAGCAAGUAAAUCAAGAAAACAGAAGACUUGGGGUCCAGGAAACAGGAGAUUCAACCUAGAAAAGCAAAAAAGGCAAAUCUCAAGAUAAAAAAUAUAAACCCCAGUCUAGAUGUCAACCAGUGUUGAUCAGAAGGGAAGAACAGAGUUUCUGGGGGGAGAGUAGAGAGUCCCUGUGGAAUGGAGAGUUACUGAUCUUAACAGUUUCAAGGUCAAGCUCUUAGACUGCACAUGUACCCUAAAACUUAAAGUAUAAUAAUAAUAAAAUAAAGAAUAGCUAAUAUAAUUUUAACAUUUUGAAAUAAGUAAAAGAUAAGGCAAAAUUGCUAUGAAGAAAAAUAAAGGCAAUUAGAAACUCUUGGAAAAACAAAAUGCUGUACAAAACAGGAAACUAAUCAAUGUAUUCCACUUGAUUCUACAGUAAACCACAUUUACUUAGCUAAACACUGUUAAUUGAUUUUAAGCUUUUAUACACAACCUAUAAACAAGGCAUGAGACACAAUUGUGCUCAUAAAUAAAAUGUAAAUGUCAUCAACUUUUAACAACAGAGAGAUAAAAAUUCAAAUGAUAAAGACUGGGAAGUGAGAAGUAAUGCACAGGGGUGAAGGAAAAGUUGGAUGGACUCAUCUUUCAAAGUUGUGAAAAUCAAGGAUUCAUCAAAAUGUGGAAUCAAGGAUUACAGCCCAAUGACAAAUGUAGAAAUAAAAUUGUAUACGUUUUACAGUUACAAAGUUAUCCCAUGGAGAAACUAAAUGUAGUGAUAAGACUAUAUUGGGAGGAUGGGUAGAGAAAUGGGGAGUGUAAUAAACUAAAUACUCAUAUAUUAGAGCAGUACAUACUAGACAACAUAUAACAUUGAAUUCCUUGAAUUUAUCAGGAUAUUAGCUUCUAGGGAAUGGAAUUUGAGACACAGUGGGGUAGGAAAUUGCUACUUUUCAUUAUAAAUAUUUGAUUUUAAAAGUAUAUACAGACGUUUCUUUCAUAAAAUUAAAUUCUAAAUACAAUUUUUUUAAAAGGUGGCUAUACAAGAUUAUUUCUAAGGUUUCUUUUAUAUCUAAAACUCAUAGAAAGUGCUCCCAAACCUGAGUCUACUCAGGAGGAACCCUGGAACUUUUCCCUUCAGAAAGUCUGGUAUAUAUUCAAGCUGACUGUCUGAUCAGGAGCCAGUUCAUGCCACUAGGAACCUCACAAACAUUUUGAUAAAUGUCAAAUUUUCACUCCUGACCUUAUUUUAUCUUCUCAACAGCCCUCUGAAGCAAUUAUUAUGAUCAUCUGCACUUCAAAAAUGGGAUUCAAUGGGACUAAAUUAAUUGUCCUGAAUGACAUAAGUUUUAAAUUGUUAGAAUGAGAUUAAAUUCAUGGCCUCACCACACUAAGUCAUUUUCUCUUCCAUCACAUUACGCUUUUUGUUGAGCAGAAAGAGAAAGUAAGAACAAUUAUCUGCCCAAGAGCCAAUCCUUCAGUAAGAUGUCGAUAUAAAUGCACUGCCCUGAGGUUAUAGGGUAACUCCUUUGGGAAUCUGAUGGAGCAGGCUAGCAAACUACAGCCUCCUUCUCCACUUGGGGUCAUGAAUAUCAGCCAUCUGACAACACACUUCACCAAGGCUGUGAGGCUUAUAAUGACCUGGAAAGACUCAUCCUAAGUGAUUGGCACCAACACAGUGUGCAGCAUCCAAAGGGCACUGGAUGAGACCAUUUAGACCCCAACUGAGCACUGUUCCUUAUCUUUGACCCACUCUCAUUCUUGACGUCUUUUGCAAGUCUCAAGUCGUGAUGAGACACUCCUGCAUUUCUCUCUCGUGCUGCAGUGAGAAUGCUUUCAGCACAGGCAGCCAUUCAGAGUGGGAACUCCAGGAACACUCUUGAGAUGCCACUCACACCUGCCAAAGAGAACUCCCAAUACCUGUCUUCCCAGAAUGUGCUGUCCACUCAAGUUACCUGCAUCAAACUCAUGCUUGGUGCUGCUGGGCUGCAGAAUUUCUAAAGAAGUUGUUUACUGGAAAUAUUAUCACACAGUCCUUUACCUGCAGAAACUCCAUGAAACACUGGACAGAGCUUACAUAAAUUUCCACUGAAAAUAUUACUUACUCCAAGUGGAUCUGCCACAUGGGUAAUUGCAGCCUCGUAGCAACCUUGUGAAGUCAGUGUGGUCCCCCUGGCUCCCACAUGGUCCCUCUGGCUUCCUUUUCCCUCCUGGGAUGCUGGCUGCUCAGAGGUGGACUUCAUGGUUCUCCCCCAGGUGGGCCAGAACAGCAUUGCCUCCUCAGAUCUCUUCCUUCUUUCCCCUUAUCUCAGAGCUACGCUUAGGAGACAGACCAGUGACUUGAUAACUAACAACACCAGAUGGUAGGUAUUAUUGUAUUGCCCCUCCCGAUAACAUGCUUGCAUUUUGCAGGUGAUCUCUGGUGCCUAAAUUUAAAGGCUUGGCAGAUGGAGGAAUGUGUGGGCCCUAUGUGACAUAGGCCUCUUAGAAGUCCUAUGGUUAAUUGCCCUGCUGUAGAAAUAUGCAACAUUUUUCUUUAGACACCUAUAUGUUUAUCAGUAUUAUAUUUUGGUAUUAUUUUACUUUUAUAGUCAAGUCUUAUUGGUCAUAGUAUGAUCCACUUUCUCAAAAAUAUACUGUUCAGUAAAAUAAACUCAGAGUAAUGAUAGAAAUCACCCCCUAACUCCAAAGAAAUAUAUAUACAAAGUUUCCUUGAUAUGUAGACUUCUAUUUUUAAUUCAUGUUGUUUUUGAUAUUCAAAAGAGACAUAAAGGAAAUACUUUUAAAGGCUCAAAGUCAUACUUAAGAAAAAACAUGAAAUAAAAAGGUAGCAAAAUAAGUAUGAAGAAAAGAGCAACUUACAUAUAAAUCAUCUAGAAUCAAUUUUUAUACUAGACUCAUAUAUUCUAAAUGAGAAAAAAUCUACAAUGCUUUAAAUAAACACACAGGCUUUCUCCUUUCAGAAGGUAAAAUAUAUAAACUUAGCCUAAAUUUCUUGAAUGGAUAUGCAAUAAACUAUUUAUAACAUCUUCCCUGUCCUACUUAACUUAUGACUAAUCCUAAACAAUUAGAGAGUCAGAUGGCUGAGUAUUUAAAGAAGCAAACAUCUCAAAUAAACAAAGGGUCAUUUCUACCUGAAAUCCAGAGCCCCACAUCCCAUAUAGCUAUGGGUCCACUUAGCAAUAGCUACAAAUGGAAGCUGCAGAAGUAAUUCUGCAGAAUCCUGCAACCUAGAAGUUAGGAAAGAUGAGAGUCCCUUAAGAUCUGGAUAGUGUAGUCAGCCUGUGGGGCCAAGGAGGACUCCCCAGGUACCUGUAAUAGCUUCAAAAGCAAUUUUCAGAUUUCUGUAAAUUUCAUGAAAUUCUUCCCAGGUGGACCCUCCUCUGGAAAAUUGGAAAACAAAAACUUACACCCACUCACUGCUGAUUCUUUACAAUGCUCACAUCACUAAAAUCUCUCAAUCCCCCCACGAUAAAGCUUUUUCUAAAGCGAGGCUGGGUCUGCCCCCAAAGCCUAUCAUUUCACUAACAUUUAAAAAUAUUUUCUCAACAUUCUCAGGCAGUGUUCAAAAUCGGCCUGAUAUAUAUAGAGCCUCCUUUGUGGAAUAACAAGAUUAUUUUUAUCAUUUUCUGAUUCUCAAAAAUCUGACCUGUCACCAAAGAACUUCUAAAAAUAUCAGGAUGAUAAUGAUAUCCUUCGUCAUAUCCUCCUGGCUUACGGCUGCAUUUGUAGAGCUGGGUUUUUAUUUAUUUUCUGAGGGUCCUCUCUGAUCACAGUACUCAUCAUUUCAUUGCUUCAAGAAGAUGUGAGACAGAACAGCUAUCUUGGGAAGGUGGUGGAUUUUGUUUCCACCUUUAAAGACAAGGAGUUUUUGUGCAAUAUUCAGUUCAAUUCACUCUCUGCCUAUCUUUUAAAUCUCAUAUUUUUGUUGGAAAUAUAUUGGAAUAGAUCCUAGAAAACAAAUGCUGACUGAGGAGAAGCAUUUGUUUUUUUCCCACAGCCGAUUCAAUUCAGCAGCAGCAUUACUGAGUGCCUACCAUGUGCCAGGAAUAUAAAGAUGAAUAGAAUAUUCUUUGCCCUCAAAUAGCUCAUAGCCUACAGGACAGACAGUCCCAUUAAGAAAUAACAAAGUAUCCUGUGAGAAGAGCUAUAGUCUUAUUGCUGUUUAUAUAAACUUACAAGAAUGGGAACACCAAAAAGGGAACUACAAAUAUGGUCUAGAGAAAUCCGAAAUGUAAUGGGAAACCAAAGAUAUUUUCAAGAUAGAUGCUGACAAUUUCUUCCUCGGAGAUUGUGUCCCAUUCUUGAUAUAUCUGGGGUUGAAAAAAAAAAGACCUUGUUUUAGAGAAUUGUGAGCAGCAUCUGCUCCUUGGGUAGAAUUUAGAAAGUAUCCUUGGGAAUAUAUUGGUUUUGGUAAGUCUUUUUCAGUCAUGUGUAGAUAGAAGUACCUACUCACUGGCCUUGCAGGAGCCCUGGACAAAAGGAAGCUUCCAACGGCAGAUGGUUCACCUGGAGAAGGUUCACUACUCUAGCCGUGACAAAUUCUCUCUUCACAUUGGGCACGCUGUAUCAAUUAUCUUGUCAACUGUUAUAUUGUCUAUCGUGUCAUCAAUGGGUAUUUCCUUCUUUUGGCUGUAGAUUUGUGGGGGAUAAGAUGAAGACUUCCGUGCAUUAAGAACCCUGGACCCUUGUUCCAGUGGCAGCAGGCUGGGGCCACAGGAGAGACGGAACCUAUAGAGCACUGCCUUUAAAGGGACAUGAUGACAGAAUUCAGGAAUAGUGAUACAUGGUACCUUAUUUUAGGUUUUCCUUUCCUCCGUAUCAAAAUUUGUUAAAUACUAUUACCUCUUGUUGUUGCAUUGGUAAGCAUUGGAGAGUAAGGAGCAAGUACUGUAUUCUUGCUUUGGAGUAAAAUGGACUAAAAAAAGGCUAGCAAAUGAUCACAAGUGAUCGUGAAGAAGCUGGGAGCAGCAGACCAGAGCAAGAAGGCACACAGGGUAACCAGAAUGGACUUAGGGAACAUGUGGGCCCUCUCUGAGCAUUCUCAGGAAUAUUUAGGGAAGGAGGCAGGAUGACCCAUUGGCCUCAAUCAAUUGGACGUUAAAAGAAAGAGGUGCUGUUCCCCAACUCCUCCCAACCCUGACACAUGCCUUCACAUUGCAAAGGCUAAAAGAACUUUGGAAUAAUCUCCAUUUUUCAAGAAACAACAACAGUUCUGGGUUUUGAAGAAUGAGUAGAUGUUCACUGGGCGGAAGAGAGAAAACAAAUGAGUAAAGACUUUUAGGGAAAAACAAGCAUACGCUGGAAUGGCUAAAGCAGAAAUCUCAACCACAGUGUCAUGACUCAUGGAUCUGUUUCCUAUUCUAAGCCUGUCUGAGGUUCCACAUCCAAAUUGCCUUGCUUUUCUCUCUUGGCAGCAUGUGCCUUACAGAUAUGCAGCUUUCUACUGUCCCUAAUUGGCUAACCAGCCUUCCAUUUUUUUCCAACUUCCAAAAUUUUGGUUUUCUCUUUCAUCAUAUCUCCCCUCUCUUGUUCUUAUAGGUUCAUGUAUUUUAAAUUAUUUUACUGUGAGGUUUUGGACAAGAGUGGAGAUAAAUGCAUGUGUUCAAUCUGUGUUCUCCUUUCCCAGUUAUAUUUUAUUUAUCUAUUCAUUAUUGUUCCACGUAAUGGAGAAAAACAUGAUACCAGGAUCUUGAUUAGAAGUAGCACUCGAACCCUAAAAGGGCUUAUAAAAUCACAGACCCUCACUCAGGGUUAGAAUGAGCUGUAAAAGUCAACCUGUCUAAGCUCCCAUCAGAUGCUUAAUUCUGGAAACUCCUUUGCUUGCCUAUUAUAAAUUUAACUUAUUGAGUGAAAAUGUUGAAAAGCUGUGUUAUUAUUUCGCUUAUCAUCAUUCAUCAUGUUUAGUAAUUAUCAAAAUAGCUGCCACUUAUGAUGCACAUUCCAUACACACCACCCUGUGCUGAGGGUCAUUUAUGCCUCCCAACAGUUCUAUGAGGGAGGUGUUAUUCCACUGUCCCCACUCCCUGUUUUGCAGAGAAGGAAACUGGGAUUUAGCUCAGGUUUAACUCACUUCCCAGUCUCUUGUAGUUUGUCCAUGGCAGGCAGAGCCUAGUUUUAGACCACUAUCGGGUUCCAAAGCUUAUCCUCUCAGCUGUGAUGGUUUCCAGAUUUAGGACUAUGUGACUCUGAAAGAACUGCAUUGUUCUGCAGGGUGGCUGGCGUGUGCUUUCUUCUUUUCUCCACUGACAGCUUUAGUCGCUGAUGUUGUUGCCAUUGCCCACAUUUGAAUCCUCAGGGUUAUGACCCACUGUAGUCCCAGGCUGACUUCUGUCUGCUACCCAGAUGACUUUUUUUUUUUCAAUUGAUACAAAUUUAGGAAACAAAAAAUAAUUUUAAAAUUCAUUUUGCCCAAACAAUGCAGGUAAAUAUGUUGUCAAAAUGAUGUACAAUGCACUUUUAGGCAGUCUAUAAAUGGCACUGCAUUGAUUAUCAAUUACAUCCAUCAUAUCAAAUCACCAUUGUUAAUACAUUGAGUACAGUUGAAUUAAAAUGUUGACCAAACCAAAAAUUUCAGGUUUGGUGGGUUUGGUUUUUUGUCUGUUUGUUUGUUUGGUAAAACAACCACAUACUUUUUCCUGUCAAUUUCAGUGGUUGAGGGUCUACUGUUAAAAUAGGCAUAUAAAGAUAAACUACCCAUAACCCCAAAGCAGAUAAGACAGGACCAAGUCACAGCUCUGUGCUUGCUGCGUCUUUUGAGCAAUUCACCUAACCUCUCCAAGACACUGUUUCAAAAUCUGUAAGAAAGAACCCUAACACACAAUAGCAUUUUGAGUGCAACUGAGACAAUAUAUGUAUAAGUGGUCAGCACAGAGUUGGAGCUUAAUAAAAGCACGUUUACUAGCUUUAUCCAAGAGUCUCCAGCAAGUGUUGAAAAAAUACUUUUGGAAUAGAUUUGAUAAUGGGAGAUAGACAUUGAGAAUACAUGUAAACAAAUAGAAGAGCUUGGAUGCCUGAAAUCUCAUAUAUUCAUAAAGCAUCUCCAAGAUUCCCAGGGUUGGCCCCUCUAGUUCUGACAGCUAUACUAGUCAUGGGACUGGACUCAGAAACUCAGAAUUGCCAGCCCAUUUAACUGUGUCUUGAUCUACAAUGUUGUGUGAGGCACGCAGUGUUGCCUGUGACCUCCUAUACCUCCAUCGCUGCUAGAUGCAAACCCUGCUCAGAAAAACUAUGAACAUGCACAGUUCAGAAGAUAUGAGAAUUGUCUCCUAGAGUCACUAUGGGGGUCUUCUGAGGAUAACAAACACCAUGGGAAAGGCAACUUAUUAAGGUACAUAUUACAGUCUUCUAAUGUCUAAAGCCAGCUAGACAUACAUUUAAAUCCCAGCAGAAAUUCUCUGAAAGGUUUGCCUCCACCCUAGGUCUUCCAACAUUAGAAGAACUUCAGAGAGAAAGUAGGACAUUUUGUCUCUCUUGGGUAUUUGGGAAUCAAGGUGCAGACUU